rnacentral:misc_RNA from 1 species
AAGUCGUAACAAGGUUUCCGUAGGUGAACCUGCGGAAGGAUCAUUUCCGAACAAAACAUCAUAUCAACCAACCAUGUGAAAUGUUUUGGGUGACCUUUACUGGAGGGAUAGCUGGAGUUGUUAGACAUAUAUACUACACACCUAGUCGUGUGUGUGUGUAUGGAUAGCUCAUCUCCGAUUUUUUUAUCCCUCCAGGCCUUGAUGAACUACCUUGUAACAAAGGUUGAUUUUAUAUCGUCUUUUCAACUUUAGAAAAGUAAAUGAUAUGACAACUUUUAACGGUGGAUCUCUUGGCUCGU